UGGGGAAUAUUGCACAAUGGGCGCAAGCCUGAUGCAGCGACGCCGCGUGGGGGAUGACGGCCUUCGGGUUGUAAACUCCUUUCGCUAGGGACGAAGCUUUUUGUGACGGUACCUAGAUAAGAAGCACCGGCUAACUACGUGCCAGCAGCCGCGGUAAUACGUAGGGUGCGAUCGUUGUCCGGAAUUACUUGGCGUAAAAGGCUCGUAGGUGGUUUGUCGCGUCGUCUGUGAAAUUCCGGGGCUUAACUCCGGGCGUGCAGGCGAUACGGGCAUAACUUGAGUACUGUAGGGGUAACUGGAAUUCCUGGUGUAGCGGUGAAAUGCGCAGAUAUCAGGAGGAACACCGAUGGCGAAGGCAGGUUACUGGGCAGUUACUGACGCUGAGGAGCGAAAGCAUGGGUAGCGAACAGG
rnacentral:rRNA from 1 species